UACGGAGGGGGCUAGCGUUGUUCGGAAUUACUGGGCGUAAAGCGCACGUAGGCGGCUUUGCAAGUUAGAGGUGAAAGCCCGGGGCUCAACUCCGGAAUUGCCUUUAAAACUGCAUCGCUAGAAUUGUGGAGAGGUAAGUGGAAUUCCGAGUGUAGAGGUGAAAUUCGUAGAUAUUGGGAAGAACACCGGUGGCGAAGGCGGCGAUCUGGGUAGAUACUGACGCUGAGGUGCGAAAGCGUGGGGAGCAAACAGG
rnacentral:rRNA from 1 species